rnacentral:rRNA from 1 species
AUGGCCGGCCACAGGGGCAUUGAGACACGGGCCCCACUCCUACGGGAGGCAGCAGUUAGGAAUCUUCCGCAAUGGACGGAAGUCUGACGGAGCGACGCCGCUUGGAGGAGGAAGCCCUUCGGGGUGUAAACUCCUGAACUGGGGACGAAAGCCCCGGAUAGGGGGAUGACGGUACCCAGGUAAUAGCGCCGGCCAACUCCGUGCCAGCAGCCGCGGUAAUACGGAGGGCGCGAGCGUUACCCGGAUUUACUGGGCGUAAAGGGCGUGUAGGCGGCCUGGGGCGUCCCAUGUGAAAGGCCACGGCUCAACUGUGGAGGAGCGUGGGAUACGCUCAGGCUAGAGGGUGGGAGAGGGUGGUGGAAUUCCCGGAGUAGCGGUGAAAUGCGCAGAUACCGGGAGGAACGCCGAUGGCGAAGG